UACGAAGGGGGCUAGCGUUGCUCGGAAUCACUGGGCGUAAAGGGUGCGUAGGCGGGUCUUUAAGUCAGGGGUGAAAUCCUGGAGCUCAACUCCAGAACUGCCUUUGAUACUGAAGAUCUUGAGUUCGGGAGAGGUGAGUGGAACUGCGAGUGUAGAGGUGAAAUUCGUAGAUAUUCGCAAAGAACACCAGUGGCGAAGGCGGCUCACUGGCCCGAUACUGACGCUGAGGCACGAAAGCGUGGGGAGCAACAGG
rnacentral:rRNA from 1 species